CCUACGGGGUGCUGCAGUGAGGAAUAUUGGUCAAUGGGCUUACGCCUGAACCAGCCAAGUCGCGUGAGGGAAGACUGCCCUAUGGGUUGUAAACCUCUUUUGUCAGGGAGCAACGCCGGCUACGUGUAGCCGGACUGAGAGUACCUGAAGAAAAAGCAUCGGCUAACUCCGUGCCAGCAGCCGCGGUAAUACGGAGGAUGCGAGCGUUAUCCGGAUUUAUUGGGUUUACAGGGUGCGUAGGCGGAAUGUCAAGUCAGCGGUAAAAUCGCGGGGCUCAACCUCGCUCCGCCGUUGAAACUGGCAGUCUUGAGUACAGUAGAGGUGGGCGGAAGUCGUGGUGUAGCGGUGAAAUGCUUAGAUAUCACGAAGAACUCCGAUUGCGAAGGCAGCUCACUGGACUGCAACUGACGCUGAGGCUCGAAAGUGUGGGUAUCAAACAGGAUUAGAUACCCCAGUAGUC
rnacentral:rRNA from 1 species